rnacentral:rRNA from 1 species
UACGUAGGGGGCAAGCGUUGUCCGGAUUUAUUGGGCGUAAAGAGCGUGUAGGCGGCCUGACAGGUCUGCUGUGAAAACUCGAGGCUCAACCUCGAGAUGUCGGCGGAAACCGUCUGGCUAGAGUCCGGAAGAGGAGAGUGGAAUUCCUGGUGUAGCGGUGAAAUGCGCAGAUAUCAGGAAGAACACCUAUGGCGAAGGCGGCUCACUGGCCCGAUACUGACGCUGAGGCACGAAAGCGUGGGGAGCAAACAGG